CCGCACACCAAUGCCCCGCAAAGUAAGCCCCAAAACCCACGCUUCCUGAUGCGUCGGUAAAAAGUUCCAAAUCGGACAAUGCAAUAACCAUAUCCCUAAAGAAAACACAUCCAUUGAAGUCCUUCAGAAAUGUCUCCCAUACACCUAAAUCCUCCCUCAUCGGAGCUGUGACCCUGAUAAAGUGAUGAGGGGACCACUAGUCACCCCCCC